rnacentral:ncRNA from 1 species
UAACAACGAAUGAUAAGAAGUCAGCAGACGUCAUAGUACCCUACGAGUAACGGGGGAAGGAC